GAUGAACGCUGGCGGCGUGCCUAAUACAUGCAAGUCGAGCGAAUGGAUAAAGAGCUUGCUCUUAUGAAGUUAGCGGCGGACGGGUGAGUAACACGUGGGUAACCUGCCCAUAAGACUGGGAUAACUCCGGGAAACCGGGGCUAAUACCGGAUAACAUUUUGAACCGCAUGGUUCGAAAUUGAAAGGCGGCUUCGGCUGUCACUUAUGGAUGGACCCGCGUCGCAUUAGCUAGUUGGUGAGGGAACGGCUCACCAAGGCAACGAUGCGUAGCCGAUCUGAGAGCGUGAUCGGCCACACUGGGACUGAGACACGGCCCAGACUCCUACGGGAGGCAGCAGUAGGGAAUCUUCCGCAAUGGACGAAAGUCUGACGGAGCAACGCCGCGUGAGUGCUGAAGGCUUUCGGGUCGUAAAACUCUGUUGUUAGGGAAGAACAAGUGCUAGUUGAAUAAGCUGGCACCUUGACGGUACCUAACCAGAAAGCCACGGCUAACUACGUGCCAGCCGCCGCAGUAA
rnacentral:rRNA from 1 species